GACGAACGCUGGCGGCGUGCCUAACACAUGCAAGUCGAGCGGAGAAAUUAAAGCUUGCUUUAAUUUCUUAGCGGCGGACGGGUGAGUAACACGUGGGCAACCUGCCCUUGAGAGGGGGAUAACACAGAGGAAUUUGUGCUAAUACCGCAUAACAUUUAGACUUCGCCUGGAGUGUAAAUCAAAGGAGUAAUCCGCUCAAGGAUGGGCCCGCGGCGCAUUAGCUAGUUGGUGAGGUAAUGGCUCACCAAGGCGACGAUGCGUAGCCGACCUGAGAGGGUGAUCGGCCGCAUUGGAACUGAGACACGGUCCAGACUCCUACGGGAGGCAGCAGUGGGGAAUAUUGCGCAAUGGGGGAAACCCUGACGCAGCAACGCCGCGUGAGCGAUGAAGGCCUUCGGGUUGUAAAGCUCUGUCUUUGGGGACGAUAAUGACGGUACCCAAGGAGGAAGCCACGGCUAACUACGUGCCAGCCGCCGCGGUAACAC
rnacentral:rRNA from 1 species